CCUACGGGAGGCAGCAGUGGGGAAUAUUGCGCAAUGGGCGAAAGUCUGACGGAGCGACGCCGCGUGAGGGAUGAAGGUCUUCGGAUCGUAAACCUCUGUCAGCAGGGAAGAACGGGCACUGUGCUAAUCAACAGUGAAUUGACGGUAUCUGCCAAGGAAGCCCCGGCUAACUCCGUGCCAGCAGCCGCGGUAAUACGGAGGGGGCGAGCGUUAAUCGGAAUUACUGGGCGUAAAGCGCUCGUAGGCGGUAUGUCAAGUCAGAGGUGAAAUCCCCGGGCUCAACGGGGGAAGUGCCUUUGAAACUGGGAAACUUGAGUGUAUGAGAGGAUAGUGGAAUUCCAGGUGUAGGGGUGAAAUCCGUAGAUAUCUGGAGGAACAUCAGUGGCGAAGGCGACUAUCUGG
rnacentral:rRNA from 1 species